GGUGAGGACAAUCUGGCGGCGACAUCUGUCACCCCAUUGGUCGCCAGUGUUGAUUUGGCUAAUCUGGCUGGCUAGGCAGGUGUCCCCUUCUUCCCUCACUGCUCCACGUGUGUCCCUCCCCAAGCUAUGUGCUCGGUCGAAUAGGAUGACCAUCCCUGUUAGGGGAGGACCAGUCUUCAGUGCAGGGAAUGUGAGUAGCUGUGCUCCCCUGCUAGAACUUCCAAACAAGCUCGCAAGGACCCAUUUUUCCCUUUCAAGUUCAAGACCAUAUUUACUCAUCUAACAUCUAGCAUCAUGUCUAG
rnacentral:snRNA from 1 species